AGCAAACCUCGGGUAACCGGGGGGCGCAAAACUACGGGUCCUUUGAAAAAAGGAAGUUAGGAUAGCCGGGUUGUC
rnacentral:ncRNA from 1 species